rnacentral:rRNA from 1 species
AUGAAGAUCCUGGUGGCGGUGAAGCGGGUGGUAGACUACGCGGUGAAGGUGCGGGUCCGGCCGGACCGGACGGGCGUCGACACGGCCAGCGUCAAGAUGUCCAUGAACCCCUUCUGCGAGAUCGCCGUGGAGGAGGCGCUGCGGCUCCGCGAGGCCGGCGCCGCCUCCGAGGUCGUCGCCGCCACCGUCGGCCCCGCGCAGGCCGCCGACACGCUCCGCACCGCGCUCGCCAUGGGCGCCGACCGCGCCGUCCACGUCCUCCACGACCCCGACCCCGCCCGCCCGCUCCUCCCGCUCGCCGUCGCCAAGAUCCUCCGCGCCCUCGCGCUCCAGGAGACCCCCGGCCUCCUCAUCCUCGGCAAGCAGGCAAUUGAUGAUGAUUGCAACCAAACAGGACAAAUGCUAGCUGCAUUGCUCAACUGGCCGCAGGGAACCUUUGCCUCAAAGGUGAUAAUUGACAAGGAUAAGCAAAAAGCUACUGUUGAGCGAGAGGUCGAUGGUGGAACUGAGACAAUCUGCUUGGAUUUACCAGCAGUGAUCACGACUGAUCUGAGACUGAACCAGCCCCGGUACGCGACGCUGCCCAACAUAAUGAAGGCAAAGUCGAAGGUGAUCAAGAAAGUCACCCCCGCAGACCUGAACGUCGAUGUCAGGUCAGACAUGGAGGUGCUCCGGGUGGACGAGCCGCCAAAGAGGAAAGCCGGGGUGAUCCUCUCGUCGGUCGACGAGCUCCUUGACAAACUGAAAAACGAAGCCCGCGUCCUGUAA